rnacentral:rRNA from 1 species
UUCCCCUAGUAGCGGCGAGCGAAGCGGGAAGAGCUCAAAUUUAUAAUCUGGCACCUUCGGUGUCCGAGUUGUAAUCUCUAGAAAUGUUUUCCGCGUUGGACCGCACACAAGUCUGUUGGAAUACAGCGGCAUAGUGGUGAGACCCCCGUAUAUGGUGCGGACGCCCAGCGCUUUGUGAUACAUUUUCGAAGAGUCGAGUUGUUUGGGAAUGCAGCUCAAAUUGGGUGGUAAAUUCCAUCUAAAGCUAAAUAUUGGCGAGAGACCGAUAGCGAACAAGUACCGUGAGGGAAAGAUGAAAAGCACUUUGGAAAGAGAGUUAACAGUACGUGAAAUUGUUGGAAGGGAAACGCUUGAAGUCAGACUUGCUUGCCGAGCAAUCGGUUUGCAGGCCAGCAUCAGUUUUCCGGGAUGGAUAAUGGUAGAGAGAAGGUAGCAGUUUCGGCUGUGUUAUAGCUCUCUGCUGGAUACAUCUUGGGGGACUGAGGAACGCAGUGUGCCUUUGGCGGGGGUUUCGACCUCUUCACACUUAGGAUGCUGGUGGAAUGGCUUUAAACGACCCGUCUUGAACCACG